UACGUAGGGGGCAAGCGUUGUCCGGAUUUAUUGGGCGUAAAGAGCGUGUAGGCGGCUUUGCAGGUCCGCUGUGAAAACUCGAGGCUCAACCUCGAGCUGUCGGUGGAAACCGUAAAGCUAGAGUCCGGAAGAGGAGAGUGGAAUUCCCGGUGUAGCGGUGAAAUGCGCAGAUAUCGGGAAGAACACCCGUGGCGAAGGCGGCUCUCUGGGACGGUACUGGACGCUGAGACGCGAAAGCGUGGGGAGCGAACAGG
rnacentral:rRNA from 1 species